GGGAAGGGAGUGACACAGGCUGUUAACUAGUUCAAAGCAGAGGACAGGUAAUGCAAAUUGGAGCUGUUAGUAUGAUGAGGUUUUUGAGAGUGGGCCUGUGAGAAUCUGGAAGUGACGCCUCAAUGGCCAAAAAGUCCUGGCUGAACUUCCGCUUCCUACAUCUCCUUCCUCCCUACAACUCUCUCCUCCUAAGACUAAGGACUUGCCCAAAGCCUGUGAGUUAUAUCAUGAAGUUUGGAAGGGAAACAACAGAAGAGUCAUGAGAGAUGCCAGAGAAGGAAGGGGUCAUGCUCAUCUUUACUCUUCACAGGUUAGUGUAAGAGAAAUCUUUCUCUAACCAGCAUUUUCAGUUUAGCUUCUCAAAAAAAUGGAGUCUUGUUUCUGUUUUACUAUAUUUGGGUUGGUUUGUUGUUUUUUUUUUUCCUCUCUCUCUGGGAAACCAGUAUGUCUAAGUCCAUUUACAGCUUACUCCCACUUUCUUCCCUUACUUACAGAACACAAAUAUAGUAUGAUGUGGAAAUCAUCCUUCCUGAAGGCUUCUAUUUCUUUGUUAACCCAUGAAGAUUAUAAUUCUUCUACUUCAAAAGGCCUUCCGUUGCCAGAACUGCUAUGCUACUUUACGUCUCACAAGAGCUUUUCCUGUAUAUAAAUUUUAUAAAACUCAUAUCUAGUUUAACUUCCUACUAACAUUAGAUAUGACACUAUGAAGGCACAUGAUAUAUGUAAUGGGAUUUUGCAAGGAAGAAAGAUCAUUUGGAUAAAGUUUGCAUAGCUCUUCUUAGGCUUAUGCAUGUAUUUAAAUUUAUAAAAAUGAUCCUUUGCUAUGUGGCACAGGAUGCUCUGGUGUCUAGGAAUUUUACUGGAAUAAAGCUUCUACCUGUAAAACCUAA